rnacentral:rRNA from 1 species
AAACUCAAAGGAAUUGACGGGGGCCCGCACAAGCGGUGGAGCAUGUGGUUUAAUUCGACGCAACGCGAAGAACCUUACCAGGGCUUGACAUCCCCUGACCGCGUAUGAAAGUACGUUUUCACCCUCGGGUGACAGGGAGACAGGUGGUGCAUGGUUGUCGUCAGCUCGUGUCGUGAGAUGUUGGGUUAAGUCCCGCAACGAGCGCAACCCCUACGUUUAGUUGCUAACGCGUGAAGGCGAGCACUCUAGACGAACUGCCGUUGACAAAACGGAGGAAGGUGGGGAUGACGUCAAAUCAUCAUGCCCCUUAUGUUCUGGGCUACACACGUGCUACAAUGGCCGGUACAGACGGACGCAAAGCCGCGAGGUGGAGCAAAUCCUAAAAAGCCGGUCUCAGUUCGGAUUGCAGGCUGCAAUUCGCCUGCAUGAAGUCGGAAUCGCUAGUAAUCGCAGGUCAGCAUACUGCGGUGAAUACGUUCCCGGGCCUU